UUCCGGUUGAUCCUGCCGGAGAUCACUGCUAUUGGGGUUCGACUAAGCCAUGCGAGUCCUCGUGGUAAUGCUGAGCAAACGGCUCAGUAACACGUGGAUAAUCUGCCCUCAGGACAGGGAUAACCCCGGAAAACUGGGGAUAAUACCUGAUAGGUGGAGAUAUCUGGAAUGAUUCUCCGCUCAAAAGGUUAGGCGCCUGAGGAUGAGUCUGCGACCGAUUAGGUUGUUGGCGGUGUAAUGGACCACCAAGCCAAAGAUCGGUACGGGCGUUGAGAGACGGUGCCCGGAGAUGGGGACUGAGACACGGCCCCAGGCCCUACGGGGCGCAGCAGGCGCGAAAACUCCGCAAUACACGAAAGUGUGACGGGGGAACCCCAAGUGCACUCACGCAAGGAGUGCUUUUGUGAAGUGUAAAUAGCUUCACGAAUAAAAGCGGGGCAAGAUCUGGUGUCAGCCGCCGCGGUAAUACCAGCCCCCUGAGUGGUAAGGACGAUUAUUUGGCCUAAAGCGUCCGUAGCCGGUUUAGCAAGUCUUUUGUUAAAUCCAACGAUUCAAUCGUUGGGCCGCAAAAGAUACUGUUAUGCUAGAGGACGGGAGAGGUCGACGGUAGUCCAGGGGUAGGGGUGAAAUCCUAUAAUCCUUGGAGGACCACCAGUGGCGAAGGCGGUCGACUAGAACGUGCCUGACGGUGAGGGACGAAAGCGGGGGGAGCGAACCGGAUUAGAUACCCGGGUAGUCCCAGCUGUAAACGAUGCGGGCUAGGUGUUGGGGCAGCCACGAGCUGCCCCAGUGCCGCAGAGAAGUUGUUAAGCCCGCCGCCUGGGGAGUACGGUCGCAAGGCUGAAACUUAAAGGAAUUGGCGGGGGAGCACCACAAGGGGUGAAGGCUGCGGUUUAAUUGGAUUCAACGCCGGA
rnacentral:rRNA from 1 species